GACGAACGCUGGCGGCGUGCCUAAUACAUGCAAGUCGAGCGAAGUUUUUCUGGUGCUUGCACUAGAAAAACUUAGCGGCGAACGGGUGAGUAACACGUAAAGAACCUGCCUCAUAGACUGGGACAACUAUUGGAAACGGUAGCUAAUACCGGAUAACAGUAUUUCUCGCAUGAGAGAUAUUUAAAAGUUGGUUAUGCUAACACUAUGAGAUGGCUUUGCGGUGCAUUAGCUAGUUGGUGGGGUAAAGGCCCACCAAGGCGACGAUGCAUAGCCGACCUGAGAGGGUGAUCGGCCACACUGGGAGUGAGACACGGCCCAGACUCCUACGGGAGGCAGCAGUAGGGAAUCUUCCGCAAUGGGCGAAAGCCUGACGGAGCAACGCCGCGUGAGUGAAGAAGGAUUUCGGUUCGUAAAGCUCUGUUGUUAGGGAAGAAUGGAUAUGGAGUAACUAUACAUGUAAGAGACGGUACCUAACCAGAAAGCCACGGCUAACUACGUG
rnacentral:rRNA from 1 species